UGGAUACUUCUAACAUAAAUAUAUUCAUGAUUCAUGAAUCACCUGGGUGUGUGAUGGUACAUGAGUCCUAACAGGCAGCCUAUUUAUUUUUUACAGAGACAUGAGAAGCAACAAAUAAUUUAAUAGAUGCAUUGGUGGCACAGAAGGUUUGAGGCAGUUUAUGCAAAGCUGUGAAAAGAGCGUGCAUUUUGAAUGACAAAUAAUAUGCUUCGCUAUAAAUGCAACACGACACAAUGCGAUUUGGUUCAGUGAGAAGGCUGUGAUACGCUUAUGAGAUCACUGACUAAAAUCAGGACAGAAAUCAUGCUGACUAUUCUUCUGAUUAUGGCAAUGAUUGGCCAAGGUCAAUCAUGGGACAGCCUUGGAACCAGCUUCAUAACAAUAUUCCCAGAGAACAUAGCCUUCUACUAUCCGCUUAGUCCAGUGAACGCUCUCAAUAUCACUGCUGUCCUUCCCGACACUGUGGUGGAAGUCUUUAUCUCAGGGCAGUUGCCUUACACAUACACACUACUAGAAGGACAGCCCCUAACUGUGACCUUCUCAGUGGGUAUUGAGGAAUACCAAUUUGGUGAAAUUUCUCAGACUGUCAGAAUCAGCAGCACAAAGAACAUUGUAGUGCAAUCAAUCAGCAAGAAAGGAGACAGUGUGCAAACUAAUGUCAUUCAGCCUCGGAAAAACCUUGGUACAGUUUAUACCAUCCCCUUGCUGAAUUACAGCCAGAUGAUCAAUACUUUUUAUCAAUCAGCAAGAAAUAUCAGCAAGAGAUACAACUCCUUCAGGCUGGUUAUUAUCAACGGAGAAGAUUUGAUUAAUAAUGUCAAAAUUGUAAAAAGGUCUAUAGAAGAGAUUUACACACUCAGUCCGUUCACCGCUCUCCAGCUUAAAACUGACGGGACAGAAACUAAGAUUUAUUCUGAUUAUGGAGUGGCUGUGAUGCUGACCCAUCCUUGUGUAGAGACGGAUGAAUGCAGAUGCAACAUGGUGCUGAGCCAACUUUAUCCUGACGUUCAGGAGGAUAGCAGAUUUGUUGUACCCUCAAUACCCAACACCAGCAACUUUUGGCUACAUGUGACGUCCUCAGUGGAAACCAGUGCCAGUGGUGGGGAUCUAGAAUCGAGUACUGUGGAUGCCUAUUCCUCAAAACUCCUGUCCCUUCCAUCUCUGUACUUAGGAUCCCAGUUCAUCCACACAUCGAAUCCUGCUUCCCUCAGGCUUGUCAGUCCAGGCAUCAUCAUUGAACCGAUCUCACAAUAUAGGUUCUCUGGGUGCUACCUAGUAACUGUCAGCUCGACAGAUGCCAAGGCCUUAAUCAUUGCAGAAACAUACUACAGGGAUAGUGUGUAUAUAGAUAAUGAUUUGCUUUUAUCCACUGAAUGGAGCACCAUCGCCAAUUCAGUGUACUCAUCGGUGUUAGUGUCUUUUGAUGACACACACGUCAUUUGGCAUCCAUCCACAAAGAUCGGCGUGUACGUGUUUGAGAAGAGCACAAAUGUGUAUGGAGGCCCGGCUAUAUCUUUAAGCGCAAAGCCAGACCCUUCAGGCUGUGCAGUUGUUCCUCCUGAGUUUGACAUCAUCGUCACGCCUCAAACCUGGCCUGAAUCCCAUCAGCACUGUAAGCUCAUAAGUGACGAGUUAUUCAGUCCCAGCAAUGAAGACGCCCAAGCGGAGAUGGCCGACAUUCUGAAUAAUGAAGGUAUGAAUGAGAGGCUCUGGAUUGGCGUGCGUCGCAGUCUGAUGACGUUAGAUUGGUACCGGCAGAAAGGUAAAAGCUCACACAACUUGACAUACACUUGGUGGGGAACCGGAGAGCCAGGUGAUGCUGCAAAGGGCAUGUGUGCUUCGGUAUUCCCAAACCCAAGCAUGGAUUUCCUUUGGGAAACUACAAACUGUUGUACUAAAUUGAAAUCUAUCUGCUACACAAGGGCUCAGUACUUUACCAUCUCAAAAGAGACAGCUAAGCAUUCUAAUGCUUAAAAAAAUGAAGGUUAAUAAUAAAAACUGGCCAGGGAAAACAAGUUGCCACAAGUUUAUGGUAAAAAAGAGGUUGACUUUUUGUUUCUUUAUAGUUUACAAUUUAUAGCUGUAUACAUUAAAUGAUAUAUUGUUAAUAUGCAAACCUCAUUAAACCUCAUGUUGUGUUCAUUGGACUAAAACCUACUGAUUUUGCUCACACAGGGUAUAACAACUUCUUCAAAAAAAAACAAUACAAAAAUAUAUAUACCCUCCACCUUGUAAUGUGUCCAGGUCGUUUGACCGAAAGCUUGGUAAUUAAAUUUGUGACAAGGAUUCAAGUGUGCAGACAGUUUAUUUUUUGAGAUUUUCAGUCUUGUUUGUCUGGCACCUUGGUGAUCGUGAGUGCGGUGUAACUCCUUCUAAAAAAUGUGUCAGGGUCUAAAAUGACCGGCCUACAAAAAUUGCUUAUAAAUUUCUCGUUAGGCUUUAUGGAAUUCAAUUCUUUUAUCAACUUGUUUUCUUUCACUUAGCACAGGUUUUGAAUUUCUUUUUGGAACUGAUCGAUCAUAGGCCUCAUUGAUCUAAGUUUAUGAACCUCAGUUUUUGAAUGAAUAUUGCCCAAAUUAUCCACAAGUAAUGUGGAGGUGCAUAAACUUAAAGCCUGUGAUCAGUCGGUUCCAAAAAGAAAAAACAAGUUGACAAAAGAUUGAAUUCAGGUUUUGGUGAUAAUAUAGCUUAACAAGAGAUUUAAAAGUAAUAUUUUAAAGGCUGGUCAUUUUUGAGCAUUUUUAACACAGCACAAGGGUUAAACCAAAAUAACUCUAGUUUAUGCUAGUAAAUAAGACAGAAUAAAGAUGUUAAAUCACAUAGAAGUAGACGUGAAGUUGUUUUGUCACAAAUACCUUCAGAAAGUUCACAUUGCUAUUAUAACCAUGAAUACUGUAUGCAACCUAGAUCUUAUUCACAAUGUUCAUACUGUUUAUCUAGAAACAUG
ensembl:lncRNA